rnacentral:rRNA from 1 species
CGGGAGACACACGGCGGGUGCUAACGUCCGUCGUGAAGAGGGAAACAACCCAGACCGCCAGCUAAGGUCCCAAAGUCAUGGUUAAGUGGGAAACGAUGUGGGAAGGCCCAGACAGCCAGGAUGUUGGCUUAGAAGCAGCCAUCAUUUAAAGAAAGCGUAAUAGCUCACUGGUCGAGUCGGCCUGCGCGGAAGAUGUAACGGGGCUAAACCAUGCACCGAAGCUGCGGCAGCGACGCUUAUGCGUUGUUGGGUAGGGGAGCGUUCUGUAAGCCUGUGAAGGUGUGCUGUGAGGCAUGCUGGAGGUAUCAGAAGUGCGAAUGCUGACAUAAGUAACGAUAAAGCGGGUGAAAAGCCCGCUCGCCGGAAGACCAAGGGUUCCUGUCCAACGUUAAUCGGGGCAGGGUGAGUCGACCCCUAAGGCGAGGCCGAAAGGCGUAGUCGAUGGGAAACAGGUUAAUAUUCCUGUACUUGGUGUUACUGCGAAGGGGGGACGGAGAAGGCUAUGUUGGCCGGGCGACGGUUGUCCCGGUUUAAGCGUGUAGGCUGGUUUUCCAGGCAAAUCCGGAAAAUCAAGGCUGAGGCGUGAUGACGAGGCACUACGGUGCUGAAGCAACAAAUGCCCUGCUUCCAGGAAAAGCCUCUAAGCAUCAGGUAACAUCAAAUCGUACCCCAAACCGACACAGGUGGUCAGGUAGAGAAUACCAAGGCGCUUGAGAGAACUCGGGUGAAGGAACUAGGCAAAAUGGUGCCGUAACUUCGGGAGAAGGCACGCUGAUAUGUAGGUGAAGUCCCUUGCGGAUGGAGCUGAAAUCAGUCGAAGAUACCAGCUGGCUGCAACUGUUUAUUAAAAACACAGCACUGUGCAAACACGAAAGUGGACGUAUACGGUGUGACGCCUGCCCGGUGCCGGAAGGUUAAUUGAUGGGGUCAGCGCAAGCGAAGCUCUUGAUCGAAGCCCCGGUAAACGGCGGCCGUAACUAUAACGGUCCUAAGGUAGCGAAAUUCCUUGUCGGGUAAGUUCCGACCUGCACGAAUGGCGUAAUGAUGGCCAGGCUGUCUCCACCCGAGACUCAGUGAAAUUGAACUCGCUGUGAAGAUGCAGUGUACCCGCGGCAAGACGGAAAGACCCCGUGAACCUUUACUAUAGCUUGACACUGAACAUUGAGCCUUGAUGUGUAGGAUAGGUGGGAGGCUUGGAAGUGUGGACGCCAGUCUGCAUGGAGCCGACCUUGAAAUACCACCCUUUAAUGUUUGAUGUUCUAACGUUGACCCGUAAUCCGGGUUGCGGACAGUGUCUGGUGGGUAGUUUGACUGGGGCGGUCUCCUCCUAAAGAGUAACGGAGGAGCACGAAGGUUGGCUAAUCCUGGUCGGACAUCAGGAGGUUAGUGCAAUGGCAUAAGCCAGCUUGACUGCGAGCGUGACGGCGCGAGCAGGUGCGAAAGCAGGUCAUAGUGAUCCGGUGGUUCUGAAUGGAAGGGCCAUCGCUCAACGGAUAAAAGGUACUCCGGGGAUAACAGGCUGAUACCGCCCAAGAGUUCAUAUCGACGGCGGUGUUUGGCACCUCGAUGUCGGCUCAUCACAUCCUGGGGCUGAAGUAGGUCCCAAGGGUAUGGCUGUUCGCCAUUUAAAGUGGUACGCGAGCUGGGUUUAGAACGUCGUGAGACAGUUCGGUCCCUAUCUGCCGUGGGCGCUGGAGAACUGAGGGGGGCUGCUCCUAGUACGAGAGGACCGGAGUGGACGCAUCACUGGUGUUCGGGUUGUCAUGCCAAUGGCACUGCCCGGUAGCUAAAUGCGGAAGAGAUAAGUGCUGAAAGCAUCUAAGCACGAAACUUGCCCCGAGAUGAGUUCUCCCUGACCCUUUAAGGGUCCUGAAGGAACGUUGAAGACGACGACGUUGAUAGGCCGGGUGUGUAAGCGCAGCGAUGCGUUGAGCUAACCGGUACUAAUGAACCGUGAGGCUUAACCUU